UGAUAGAUGCACCUGGAAGCCUCGAGGAGCUUUAUCCAUACUACAUUGUGAAAUUUAUUAGUUCCGGGAGAAGACCCCGAAUUGACGUAGUAGCAACCAAGUGGCUAACUUUUGAUGUGAAGAAAAAGAAACUUCUGACACGAUACCCAAGUCCACCAUACACAAAUACAAUUUUCCACCAGCUGAAUAAGGCAUUAAGAAAUUUGUCAGAUGCCCUCUGUACUUAGAACACGUAUACCUUGAAACUAAAGGGAAAAGCAAAAAACCUCGAGAAUGCCUAAAAAAAUUGGAGCUUCUGAAAGAAAAGGAUACAGCUUACAUAAUAUCAUCCGGGGAUAGUUGUACUAAAGUCAAAAAGAAAGCUGAAGAGGAGUUACGCAAGAAUAAGUUUAGUAGAGCAGCUUUAGCAUUCGAGUCUGCAUUGAGCCAACCCGUUAUGCCUAAAGAAAAUAAUCAGGAUGGCAAUAUGUAACAGAAUGUACAAAAUAUUUAUUUACAGAUUUUCUUUAACGUUCAAGCAGUAUGUCACAUCCAUUGCAAUAUACGAGUAGAUGAUUUCAACGGAGCAGAACUGCAGUUAAGACUAGUACACACAAUAAAAUGACUAACACUGCAGCAAGAACAAACAAAAAGAGUUGCGAUUCACAAAAACAGACAAUAUGUGAGGUACUACUCAGGCACAAAAUUUGUCAAAUGCACCUGCACCAAAGAGUAAUUUGUUCGAACCGAAGGAAACUGUAGAAAUAGAGACUACUUUAUCUUCACAAGAAGAGACUGCUUUAUCCACUCAAUAAUCAGACACUGCUUUAUUCGUACAAUCAACUGUACAUCAAACUGGAACUGCUUUAUCUGUACGUCAAGGUGCUUUAUCAACUGAUUCAUCUGUACAAAGUAAUCCUCCCGUACGCAAUAGAACUGGUUACUAUAUACAGCGCAAAGUUAACAAUAGAGAAAAUUCUUCAUUUGCAAAUAAUUCAGCUAUUCUUUUUGCACAAGACAAGGGCGUACUGAAUAUUUCUUCAUCUAAUUUAGUUGCUCGUGAUGAUCCUCUAGUCGGAGUUUCUAGUUCAUCUGCGAAAGUCAGUCUCUAUCAAGUUUUGCUUGACUUUUAAUCAAAAUUUACAACAAGAUGAAUCAUCACAUGAGGCAGUGGCACAAGUUUUAGAUUAACUUUUAGAAAGUCAAAGGUUAGGCGAGUUUGAUAUAUUCCGCAACGAAAUUACAAAUAAAAAAGAACUAAGAUCAAUCAAACAAAGUCAAGUUUAUUAUAUUUUAUCGUAAUGAAGUAAGGAACAGCUCUCAAGAUAAUUACUACGUAACUUGCUAUGCCCGUUUCAUUGUACUUAUGGUGUUUGUA